UCGGUUGGUUAGAUGUGCUCCGGCUCACGCUCAGACUUAAGGGGCUGGCUAGAGGUGAUGAUGAAGGACGCCCCCUACCACCUGCUACCUUUCUCAGCACCCCAAUCCCGUACGCUCGCGACAUCGGCUGAGAUUCCUAUGCCCAGAGUGGAUCUGCCCUCUUCACCUGGGUGUCCAUUGGAUUCCGGGCCAAGGUUUCCCUGCAAAAUCGGGAUGACAAAGUGUAACCACAUUUAGGGCGACAGAUGCUAAAGGCAACUGCAUCGCAUUCAACUGGGAAAAGGGGCUUGCGAUGCACCCUGAGCCUGUCACUGACUACCUUCCUCGACUGCAGCACAAAUCCAGGCAGUCACCUCAAGAGCAGUGCCGAAGACCAACAUCAGGGACCUUGAGUUCCCCUCUCUUGUUACUACUACAUGCUGAGCAACUGGAAGAAAACAGCUUGACUUGGUUCCUUAUUUCACUUCCCUCCUGUACUGUAAAAGGAUAGCCGGGAAACCUGAGCAAACACGUGUUUGCUACCAGGCGUUGGACUUGAACUGGAAGGAGCAACCUGGCCUUGGCACGACACUAGGAACGUUUUUGCCCCAGAUAAAAGGUGAAUAAAAAGCAAUCCCAUACUCUACCUGAAUAGUUACUUCCAGCUCUCUUCUCCCUGUCAUCAACUGUAAUUUCCCUACCUAGGCUUUCAGUCCCAAAGGACUUUUUCUACUCUCUAGUAUUAUCUAUUAA